rnacentral:rRNA from 1 species
UACGUAGGGGGCUAGCGUUGUCCGGAAUCAUUGGGCGUAAAGAGCGUGUAGGCGGCCCGGUAAGUCCGCUGUGAAAGUCGGGGGCUCAACCCUCGAAUGCCGGUGGAUACUGUCGGGCUAGAGUGCGGAAGAGGCGAGUGGAAUUCCUGGUGUAGCGGUGAAAUGCGUAGAUAUCGGAAGGAACACCGGUGGCGAAAGCGGCGCGCUGGAUCCCCACUGACGCUGAGGCACGAAAGCCAGGGGAGCAAACGGG